CUCUCUCUCUCUCCAAUUCUCUUCUCUCCCUCUCUCUUAAUUUCUCUCCCAAUCUUCAUCUAUUUUAGAAUCUGAUCAUACCACGCUGUAGCAGAAGAGUUAAGGAACAUUUCUACCCGAUCAGAUUUUCAAACAGAGUAAGUUCAUUUUUACUCUAAAUAUCCUUUGUUCUCUAUUUUUCUUUAGGAUUUAGUCAUCAAUCUUGGUGGGGUCAGUUGAGAAGUUUAAUCCUCUCAACUUAUUCUAUUAUAUACUGAAAUUUUGUUCUGUUUGGAUAAUUUGCAUUAGGCCCGUAAAUCUUGAAGCUUAUCCAAACGGUGGGGAAUAAAAUUCUAAAAGUUGCUUGGAAAGCAAGCAAUUGAGGUAAGGGAAGCUAAAUUUAAUUUUUAAUAGCACCCUAAGAUAGAAGAUCUGAAUGCGGAAGGGACGUGGUCCCAAUAUUCAAUUUAUCUUGCAGGGAUGUUGUGUGUUUAUUUAUAUUGGGUUGUUUGUUUAUAUAUUAUUUAAAUUUGAGGAAAUAUUGAAUUUUGAUGAUUUAGUAUUAAAGUGUUAUUUUCUUAUGUCAAAUAAACUUUUGAAUAUUGUGGAUAACUUUUUGAAUGAUAUUGUAUGACGAAAUGGUAUGAAAUUGAAUUCAUACAUUUGGGAUAAUGUAUGGACUGAUGUUUGCUGUGUAUUAAGUAUUGAUGCCUAUGUGGUAACAGAGAUCUCCGAGCUUCACUGAUGAUCUAAGUCACAUAGACUAAGAUAUCAGGUGGUGAGAAGCUGAUGGGGGAGUUCAUGCACACCGUGACAUAUGAGAUGCACGGCUUGGGUUGUAUUGAACUUACCCUGAUCCUUUAUGUUGGAUUUGCUGGUAAUCUUUGGAUCAGGUGAUAGUCUCUGGUAGGACUUACUUAAUACGGGUCUUCCGGAAGACGUUGUUUGUUGAAUAUCUUGGAUGUGUAGAUCCAUGUGAGAUCUAUGUGAUUGUUUUAAUGUUGGGAUUUGAAAAAGAUUGUAUAAUUUGAGAAAUUGAUCAUGUAACUUGGUUUUCUCUUUUGAUUUAAUUGCGUAUAUUAUAAAAUUCUAUUUUCACUAGCUUACCCUUGCUUUUCUUGCUGUGUUUGAACUGCGAUGACUGUACUACGUACACGAGCAGAUGAUCUUACAGGUGUCUGAGGAUCAGAAGAGUUUUAAGGCGUUGAUUUUGAAACUUAUAUUGUAAAUAUUAGGAAUAUUUUGAAAAACGGUAAGCUUGUAUAGAAAUAUGUAGAACCGGUAUUGUAAUAGUUAUAUGUAAAUUAUGGGAUGUUACAGAUCACCUUUAGAAAGAAUUUUUAUUUAUUUUUAUAAAAGGAAAUUUUUAGAAUCUCCAUUUUUUAAG
rnacentral:lncRNA from 1 species